CCUACGGGGGGCAGCAGUGAGGAAUAUUGGUCAAUGGGCGCGAGCCUGAACCAGCCAAGUCGCGUGAGGGAAGACGGUCCUAGGGAUUGUAAACCUCUUUUGUCGGGGAGCAAAAAACGCCACGCGUUGCGUUCCGAGCGUACCCGAAGAAAAAGCAUCGGCUAACUCCGUGCCAGCAGCCGCGGUAAUACGGGGGAUUCGAGCGGUAUCCGGAUUUAUUGGGUUAAAGGGGUGCGCAGGCGGAAGAUCAAGGCAGCGGUAAAAUUGAGAGGCUCAACCUCUUCGAGCCGUUGAAACUGGGUUUCUUGAGUGAGCGAGAAGUAUGCGGAAUGCGGGGUGUAGCGGUGAAAUGCAUAGAUAUCACGCAGAACUCCGAUUGCGAAGGCAGCAUACCGGCGCUCAACUGACGCUCAUGCACGAAAGUGUGGGUAUCGAACAGGAUUAGAUACCCCUGUAGUC
rnacentral:rRNA from 1 species